GGCCGCACGUACACGCAUACUCACAUGCAAAACAUACAGCUAUUCGUGCGCGAGAAGCACAGGUACCCCUCUGGUGUCUUUCUAUCUGCAUCGUGGAAAAGAUGCGUCUGCACACGUUUUUUUUUUUUGAGUGUCAGUGUGUAUGCGUGCCUAUGAGCGUGCUUCUCUGUCGAAGCGGACAUUCCUGCCUCACAAGUAUCGUCCCUCCCUUGUUUCUGCUGCUUCUGCUGCUGUGAUGGUGCGCGGGUUCUGCCAUCCGUACAUGUCUACACCAAAAGAGGGAAAAGGAACCGGAAGGCGCGCAUGCACACUGACACACGAGCGCACUCUUACUCUCUGCAGCUUGCCUGUUGCACCCACUAAGAGCACGCGUGACCUGAUCGUCAUGUCGGCAUGGCCGGAGAGAGGGAGAGAGCGGAGUGCGGUUCAAAAGGUGCACAGACGCGGAUGGGCACAUGCGUGCAAGUCUUUCUUUGGCUGUUGUUGAUGGCUAAACGGAGGAGAAAAAAAUGUUCGCUGCUUUC
rnacentral:misc_RNA from 1 species